AGUUGUAGAAACUGCAAAAAGACGAAGAGAAAAAGAAAAGGAAGAAAGAUGAAAAGAUAAUAAAAAUUUAAAAAAAAAAGACGUGCAAAAUAGAGAAGAAUGAAUAGGGAAGAAUGAAGGAAGCAAGGGGAAGAGGUGGUCCUUCGCCGCUUCGAUUUGUGAUUCUAGGUUUGAUUUCUUUCCCUCCUUCAUCUCUUCGUCCAAAUCCGAAUCCCCAUCUCUCAGUUCCCUUCUUCUACUUCCUACAACUCUCCUUCUCUUCUCCACGGACCCAUGGACACCGGAGCAGGUAUUUCUCUCGAUCCAUUUGCAUUCUUUGCAUGUUUGCAUCGCCUUUCUUUUUCCUUCUUCCGUGAUUUGUAUGCCCUCCUGGUUGAUUCCCAUGUGUAGAACGAUUUCCAAUUUAGUAUCUUUUUAUUCUGAUUGUCUUUGUUUCUCUCAUAGUCAUCAUCGAACUCACUCUUGUAAGUGCUGUAGUCAAUGACAUUUUUCUCUGAAGGUAUGUCUCGUUUCCCCUCCCGCCAUUAGGUGUCUUAUCAAUGGGAGGAGUGACGGUGAUACCGAAAUUCGUAUCUUCUCCAUUUAUGGGAGGAGACCCUGACCCUGCACUAAAUAUAUGGGACGUUGUAUGAGAAAUAUUACCUCAUCUCUGAGUGCCUUCAGAGGUGAAAUUCGUGGUGGAUUUCAAGUGGAUUUGAAUUUUCCUUCCUCAACAAUGGAUUCCAAUGCGAUCGUGGCCAAUUCUUUGGUAGAGCCAUGCCUUGGCAUGGAAUUUGAAUCUCACGAAGAUGCAUAUUCAUUCUAUAGAGACUACGCCAAGACUAUGGGGUUUGGAACUUCCAAAUUAAGCAGCCGUCGUUCUAGGGCAUCCAAGGAAUUUAUUGAUGCAAAGUUUUCAUGCAUGAGAUAUGGCAAUAAGCAGCAGUCUGAUGAUGCUAUCAACCCUCGACCUUCGCCAAAAAUUGGUUGUAAAGCGAGCAUGCACGUGAAGAGGAAACAGAAUGGGAAGUGGUAUGUUUAUAGUUUUGUAAAAGAUCAUAAUCACGAGCUUUUACCAUCUCAAGUUCAUCUUUUUAGAAGCCACCGAAAUACUGAUCCACUCAAGAACGAUGUCAGAAUACGGCGACGGAAGAAUUUAGCUGCCAUGUCAAAACUGUUCAGUGCUUAUCAGAAUGUUGAUUGUUUAGAAAGCUUUGUGAGAAACCAACACGAUAAGGGUCGCACUUUGGCUCUAGAAUCAGGGGAUGCACAACUUCUGCUUGAACUUUUUAUGCAUAUGCAAGAAGAGAAUCCAAAAUUCUUUUAUGCAGUUGAUAUGAAUGAAGAGCACCAGUUGCGCAAUGUGUUUUGGGUUGACGGCAAAGGUAUGGAAGACUAUGCACACUUUGGAGAUGUGGUUUCAUUUGACACCACGUAUUUCACAAACAAGUAUAAGCUUCCAUUAGUCCUUUUUAUAGGGGUGAACCAUCAUAUUCAACAUACUUUACUUGGUUGUGCACUGAUUGCCGAUGAGACAGUUUAUACAUUUCUGUGGUUAAUGCAAACAUGGUAUAUAGCAAUGGGAGAACGAGCUCCAAAGGUGAUACUCACGGACCAAAAUACCUCUAUUAAAGCAGUCAUUGGGGCAGUUCUUCCUGGAACACGUCACUACUUUUGUCUGUGGUAUAUUUUGGAAAAGAUUCCAAAAGAGCUCGAGUUUUUAAGCAUGUGGCAUGAGAAUUUUAUGGAGAAGUUCAAGAAGUGUGUUUUUAAGUCGUGGACUAAGGAAGAGUUUGAGAACAGGUGGCAGAAGUUGCUCGAUAAAUUUAAUCUUAGAGAAGUUGAGUGGAUGCAACAUUUGUAUGAUGAUCGUGGUUAUUGGGUGCCUGCUUUUGCAAGAGAUCUUUCUUUUGCUGGCUUAUGCACAUCUUCGCGCAUGGAGAGUUUGAACUCUUCUUUCGACAAAUAUGUUCAGAUUGAAACAUCCUUGACGGAGUUUAUAGAGCGAUAUAGAGACAUUCUUGAGGAGCGAUAUGAGGAAGAAGCAAAGGCGAACUUUGAUGCUUGGCACGAAACACCUGAGUUGAAGUCUCCAUCCCCAUUUGAGAAACAAAUGUCACUAGUAUAUACUUACGAAAUCUUUAAAAAAUUUCAAAUGGAGGUUUUGGGAGCUGCUGCAUGCCAUCUUAAGAAAGAAAGUGAAGAUGAAACUAUUACGAUGUACAGUGUCAAAGACUUUGAAGAUGGUCAGAAUUAUGUUGUUGAAUGCAAUCACUCAAAUUCAGAUAUAUAUUGCUCCUGCCGUUCAUUUGAAUAUAAAGGUUUUCUCUGUAGACAUGCCAUUAUUGUCCUCCAAAUGUCUGGCGUUUUCAGUAUACCAUCCAAAUAUAUAUUACAGCGUUGGACCAACACUGCUAUGAGCAGGAAUCCAAUCAAUGAAAAGUUGGAUGAGGUGCAAUGUAAGGUCCGUCGUUUUAAUGAUCUUUGUCGAAGAGCUAUAAUAUUGGGAGAAGAAGGGUCUUUGUCUCAGGAGAGUUAUGACAUUGCACUUUCUGCGAUUAAUGAAGCUUUGAAACAAUGUGCAACUGUGAGGAGUAGUUCUGCAGAAAGCGAUGUGAGGUCUGACACCUCAGCAAUUCUUGUUUUUGGUAUUGAGGACAACCAAUGCAGCAACAGCAACCUAGCUGUUGAUAAUGCGCCUGAUCUUAAGGUGAUUAAUGCUAAUAAAAUUCCUAACUUGGCAGGGUCGAGCAAUGAACCUGCAGUCAAUGAAAACAGCAAAAAUGGGAAGGUAUCUCAACCAUUUGCUUCAAAUGCUGGAUCCCAGGAUGAUUUCAAUCAAAUGGUGUGAACGUACGAGAUUCUAUCGUUGAUAGCAGAGAACGUUGCCAUUCGAAAGAGCAAGGUAGCUGUGCCUCGUAUACUAUGAUGGUCAUGCUCCCCCUCGGUGUCAUUCAAAGUACUCGAGAGAGACGUUUUUGUGUCUCAAAAUACAAAAGUCAAAGAGGGUCUUGUCAUGUUCGAUGCUAAAGAGUUUCGGGACACCCUAAUUGAUAGAUGGGCUAUAAGACAAGUACACUUCGGCAUCGAGAGUUCAAGGAGCUCUAGUAGUUCAUAGAGUGGCAGUAGUUUAGACGAUAGUUUUGAAGUCGGGAAAGGUGAUGAGCAGGAAAAUUUAGAAGGUGGAGUGAGGGACGACGAAUCUGAUGCAGACAUGAACAUCCACCAGUCUACUUACACCCCCAUUGAGGAUAUGUUUCGUGAUGUGCUGUUGGAUGACGUACAUCCUAAGCCGGAGGAGGAGUGUUCUGUCCUCGAGGAGGAUCAUUCUGAGCUUGAGGUUUUUGGCCGCAGGGAGGGAACCAUUGUUGAUCCUCUUGUAUAUUCGUAUCUACGGAGUAUUGACAGCUCAAUAUCGAGCUUAGAUGAUUGUGGAUCGAAGUUGGAGAUGGACACGAGAGACAUCAAAGCACAAUUGUCAAUCAUUGUCUUUAUUAGUCUAUGAAGGGUUCCAAAGUUUUGAGGCAGCGAGGUCCCCCACUACAUAGGCAGGCCACGAUGUCAUCAUGUCACCCAUACCGCCUCUACCUAGGUCACCUACCCCACCUGCACCUAGGUCACCUAUCCCGCCUCUACCUAGGUCGUCUACUUCAUCUCUACCUAGGUCGCCUACCCCACUUCUACCUACCUCACCUGUACAGCUUGACACUGUACAUCUCGAUUCAUCUGUAAAGUCUGAGGAGUAUGAGGUUCCACCUUCUGAAAAACACUUUGACACCAUACAUCUCGAUUCACAGGAAUUGAGUGAUAUGCGGCCAAUCCAAUUGCAUGGAAUAUCACCAACGCAAUUGCAUAACAUGGUACCAACACUGCUUCAGUUUCAUAGUACGUCUUCUUCACAUUUGCAUGAGAAUCGUCUUCCUCGUUGACGUG